rnacentral:rRNA from 1 species
AUACGUAGGGUGCGAGCGUUGUCCGGAAUUACUGGGCGUAAAGAGCUCGUAGGUGGUUUGUCGCGUCGUCUGUGAAAUUCCGGGGCUUAACUCCGGGCGUGCAGGCGAUACGGGCAUAACUUGAGUACUGUAGGGGAGACUGGAAUUCCUGGUGUAGCGGUGAAAUGCGCAGAUAUCAGGAGGAACACCGGUGGCGAAGGCGGGUCUCUGGGCAGUAACUGACGCUGAGGAGCGAAAGCAUGGGUAGCGAACAGGAUUAGAUACCCUGGUAGUCCAUGCCGUAAACGGUGGGCGCUAGGUGUAGGGGUCUUCCACGACUUCUGUGCCGUAGCUAACGCAUUAAGCGCCCCGCCUGGGGAGUACGGCCGCAAGGUUGAAACUCAAAUGAAUUGGCGGGG